UCUGGGGUGGUUCAGUGAUAGAAUUCUCACCUUCCAUGCGGGAGACCCGGGUUCGAUUCCCAGCCAAAGUA
rnacentral:tRNA from 1 species